rnacentral:misc_RNA from 1 species
AAGUCGUAACAAGGUUUCCGUAGGUGAACCUGCGGAAGGAUCAUUAGAAAUAAUCCGGCUUAGCCGGUAUAAAAUUCUACCCACCUUGUGUGCAAACAAUGGAAAAGAGAGAAAAUUGGAUUCUUUUUUUAGGAUCCAACUUCUCUAAAAUUUUUAUAAACUCCAUCAAAUUUUUAAUUGAAAACAUUUUUUUUUAAUAAAAAACAUUAUACAACUUUCAACAACGGAUCUCUUGGCUCUC